UCCGUAGGGUGCAAGCGUUAAUCGGAAUUACUGGGCGUAAAGCGUGCGCAGGCGGUUUUGUAAGACUGUCGUGAAAUCCCCGGGCUUAACCUGGGAAUGGCGAUGGUGACUGCAAGGCUAGAGUUUGGCAGAGGGGGGUAGAAUUCCACGUGUAGCAGUGAAAUGCGUAGAGAUGUGGAGGAACACCGAUGGCGAAGGCAGCCCCCUGGGUCAAAACUGACGCUCAUGCACGAAAGCGUGGGGAGCAAACAGG
rnacentral:rRNA from 1 species